GACGAACGCUGGCGGCGUGCCUAAUACAUGCAAGUCGAACGCAGUGGGGACGGGUGAGGAACACGUGGCUAACCUCCCAUCAGAGGGGAUAACACUUGGAAAAAGGUGCUAAACCGCUACUGGUGUAUGGACCCGCGGUGCAUUAGCGAGAUGGUGAGGUAACGGCCCACCAAGGCCACGAUGCAUAGCCGGUCUGAGAGGGUGAUCGGCCACACUGGAACUGAGACACGGUCCAGACUCCUACGGGAGGCAGCAGUGGGGAAUAUUCGGCAAUGGACGAAAGUCUGACCGAGCAACGCCGCGUGAGUGAAGAAGGUUUUCGGGUCGUAAAGCUCUGUUGUUGGGGAAGCGGUAUCUAACCAGAAAGCCACGGCUAACUACGUGCCAGCAGCCGCGGUAAUUC
rnacentral:rRNA from 1 species